rnacentral:rRNA from 1 species
UGCUUUACACAUGCAAGUCGAGCGGCAGCGCGUCCCCGUAAGGGGAUGGCGGCGAGCGGCGAACGGGUGAGUAAUACAUCGGAACGUGUCCCGUAGAGGGGGAUAGCCCGGCGAAAGCCGGAUUAAUACCGCAUAUGCUCUACGGAGGAAAGCAGGGGACUCGCAAGGGCCUUGCGCUAUGGGAGCGGCCGAUGUCCGAUUAGCUUGUUGGCGGGGUAAUGGCCCACCAAGGCGACGAUCGGUAGCUGGUCUGAGAGGAUGAUCAGCCACACUGGGACUGAGACACGGCCCAGACUCCUACGGGAGGCAGCAGUGGGGAAUUUUGGACAAUGGGGGAAACCCUGAUCCAGCCAUGCCGCGUGAGUGAAGAAGGCCUUCGGGUUGUAAAGCUCUUUUGGUCGGAAAGAAGAAGUUCGAGUGAAUAACUUGGAUUUUUGACGGUACCGGCAGAAUAAGCACCGGCUAACUACGUGCCAGCAGCCGCGGUAAUACGUAGGGUGCGAGCGUUAAUCGGAAUUACUGGGCGUAAAGAGUGCGUAGGCGGUUUUUCAAGUCCGUUGUGAAAGCCCCGGGCUCAACCUGGGAAUGGCAGUGGAAACUAGAAGACUUGAAUCUGGCAGAGGGGGGUGGAAUUCCACGUGUAGCA